UCCUCGUUAGUAUAGUGGUGAGUAUCCCGCCUGUCACGUGAGAGACCGGGGGUUCGAUUCCCCCGACGGGGAG